AUUGAACGCUGGCGGAAUGCUUUACACAUGCAAGUCGAACGGCAGCACGGGGGCAGCCCUGGUGGCGAGUGGCGAACGGGUGAGUAAUACAUCGGAACGUGCCCGGUCGUGGGGGAUAACGUAGCGAAAGUUACGCUAAUACCGCAUACGAUCUGAGGAUGAAAGCGGGGGAUCUUCGGGUCUCGCGCUUUCGGCUCCCCCUAUGUCAUAUUAGGUAGUUGGUGGGGUAAAGGCCUACCAAGCCGACGAUCUGUAGCUGGUCUGAGAGGACGACCAGCCACACUGGGACUGAGACACGGCCCAGACUCCUACGGGAGGCAGCAGUGGGGAAUUUUGGACAAUGGGCGCAAGCCUGAUCCAGCCAUUCCGCGUGCAGGACGAAGGCCUUCGGGUUGUAAACUGCUUUUGUAAGGAACGAAAAGGCGCUGGCUAAUACCUGGGGCUCAUGACGGUACCGUAAGAAUAAGCACCGGCUAACUACGUG
rnacentral:rRNA from 1 species